rnacentral:rRNA from 1 species
UCCUAVGGGAGGCAGCAGGGAAUCUUGGGCAAUGGGCGAAAGCCUGACCCAGCGACGUCGCGUGGGGGACGAAGGCCUUAGGGUUGUAAACCCCUUUUCUGAGGGAAGAGAUAGGACGGUACCUCGGGAAUAAGCCCCGGCUAAUUACGUGCCAGCAGCCGCGGUAAUACGUAGGGGGCAAGCGUUAUCCGGAAUCACUGGGCGUAAAGUGCGCGUAGGCGGUUGGAUAAGUCUCUUGUGAAAKCUCCCGGCUCAACUGGGAGAGGUCAAGGGAUACUAUUCGACUUGAGGACAGCAGAGGUAAGCRGAAUUCCCGGUGUAGCGGUGGAAUGCGUAGAUAUCGGGAGGAACACCAGUGGCGAAAGCGGCUUSCUGGGCUGUAUCUGACGCUGAGGCGCGAGAGCGUGGGGAGCAAACUGGAUUAGAUACCCAGGUAGUCCACGCCCUAAACGAUGGAUACUAGGUAUGGGGGGUAUUGACCCCCUCCCGUGCCGCAGCUAACGCGWUAAGUUCCCGCCUG